UUUUUUUUUUUUUCUGAAAAUAUAAAUGCCUGAUGCAUUAAAUGCUGGAAAAGAUUAAGGAAAUUACAAUACCUAAACCCUACACCCCUUAACAACUCACAAUUGCCACCACUGAUUUGGGCAGUGCCUUAUGGGAGAUUAAAAGCCUAAACCCACCUAAAUGUGCUUCAAAAUUAACAAGUAAAAGAAAAAGAAAUGUUCAAACAGACAAAAUUCCUAAACUAUCCACCUAAACCUUUAAACUUUCCCAGUGAUAACUCUUCCCCUUCCCUGCAUCGAGGCCAACUUCGAUGACUGGUUGCCUUCAAGAUUUUCUCUUCCUUUCGUUUUUGUCUUAUACCAGCCUCUCAAAACUCUAAGCUUCCUCGGAGGUCCACUCCCCUACCAGUUCCUCCGGUCUCAGCAACACAAUUACUCCUUAACUUCUAUGGCAUUUAUUUUUGUCUACUGUUGUAAGGCACUCAAUUUCUGGAGGGACUUCUUCCACCCAAUAAAUCAGAGAGUCAGAUCAUCGUCUCCACACUACCAAUCCAUGCUCCGCUUCAUUUGCCGUUCGAGGAACAUGCCUAAAAGUUAAGGUUUCGAAUCUGGAUAACAUGUCCUUAAUUUCAUUGAUUAUGUUACCUAUGUACGAUCUAUCAUUUCCUUCCAUUCUCAGCUUUUUUAUCACUGUUAAUGCAUCUCCCUCAACGCAGGCUCUUUUGAAUCCCAGAUCUUCUGCAAAUAUUACCGAUUGUAAACAUGCUUUAGCUUCUGCAGUGGUCUGGUCGCGAAUCCUCUCCCACAGCAAUACUCGGAUUCUACUUCAGAAAAUGAUAAACGGAUAAUUAGGAGACUGACUAUGAGUUUCUUCUUGGACGGUGAUUUUUUGUACAAAAGAGGGCGUGACAAAACUCUGUUGAGAUGUGUCCACACAAAAGAGACGAAUCAGAUAAUGAAGGAAAUCCAUGAUGAAGAAUGUGGAGCACAUAGUAACGGACAUAAGAUGGCAAGGCAAAUCAUGAUGGUUGGAUACUUUUGGUUUUGUUAGAACGAAAUUGUUUAAAUUAUGCUAAAAAAAUGUCAUAAAUGCCAGAUUUAUGCAGAUAAUAUUAAUGCUCCUCCUACUAAUCUUCAUGUCUUGGUGCCUCCUCGGUCGUUCUCAAUGUGGGGCAUUGAUGUUAUUGGUCCUAUCACACCGAAAACAUCAAACGGGUAUCGUAUCAUCUUUGUAGUGAUUGAUUAUCUCACCAAAUGGGUCAAAGUCUCUUCAUAUGCCAAUGUAACUCGAUCAGUGAUCUACAAAUUUCUGAAAAAAGAGGUUAUUUAUCGAUACGUUUUACAGAAAGAAUUAUGUCAGACAAUGCCAAGAACUUGAACAACGCCUUAAUAGAAGAGGUCUACACACAAUUUAAGAUCAAGCAUCACAAUUCUGAGCCAUAGCGUCCAAAAAUGAAUGGGGCAGUCGAGGCCGCAAACAAGAAUAUCAAGAUCAUUUCCAAGACAACAGAAACGUAUAGGGAUUGGCAUGAGAAACUCUCUUUUGCUUUCCAUGCAUACCGUACAUCAGUGUGGACUUCGUCUAGAGCUAUUUCAUUUUCAUUAGUGUAUGGCAUGGAGGUCAUUUUACCUAUCGAGGUGCAAAUCCCAUCUCUACGAGUGUUGAAGGAGGUGCGACUAGAGGAGGCUGAAUGGGUGCAAGAGAGAUAUGAACAGUUGAAUUUAAUUGAGGAAAAUAGAUUAGAAGCUUUAUGUCAUGACUAAUUGUAUCGGCAAAGAAUGAUGAGGGCCCAUAACAAGAAAGUGCGACCAAGGCAGUUCAGAGAAGGGGUUCUAGUAUUGAAGAAGAUUAUGCCAUAUGUUCAUGAUCAUUGAGGAAAAUGGACACCAAAAUGGAAGGAACCGUAUGUGGUAAAGAAAGCAUUCUCUGGUGGAUCGUUAAUUCUCGUUGAAAUGGAUAGAGACAAGAUGUUGAACCUUGUAAAUUUUGAUGCAAUGAAAAAAUAGUUUGCUUAAAAACUAAGGUUGAUUGUUCUUAAA